rnacentral:tRNA from 1 species
GCCUGGGUGGCUCUGUCGGUUGAGCAUCUGACUUCAGCUCAGGUCAUGGUCUCAUGUUCGUGAGUUCGACCCCACAUCGGGCU